rnacentral:rRNA from 1 species
AUACAUGCAAGUCGUGCGAAUUGACGAAGUACUUGUACUUCUGACGUUAGCGGCGAACGGGUGAGUAACACGUAAGGAAUCUACCUAUAAGCGGGGGAUAACAUUCGGAAACGGAUGCUAAUACCGCAUAAUACAUAUUUCCGCAUGGAAAUACGUUGAAAGACGGCUCUGCUGUCACUUAUAGAUGACCUUGCGGUGCAUUAGUUAGUUGGUGGGGUAAUGGCCUACCAAGACGAUGAUGCAUAGCCGACCUGAGAGGGUGAUCGGCCACAUUGGGACUGAGACACGGCCCAAACUCCUACGGGAGGCAGCAGUAGGGAAUCUUCCGCAAUGGGCGAAAGCCUGACGGAGCAAUGCCGCGUGAGUGAAGAAGGCCUUCGGGUCGUAAAACUCUGUUAUAAGAGAAGAACAAAUUGUAGAGUAACUGCUACAGUCUUGACGGUAUCUUAUCAGAAAGCCACGGCUAACUACGUGCCAGCAGCCGCGGUAAUACGUAGGUGGCAAGCGUUGUCCGGAUUUAUUGGGCGUAAAGGGAGCGCAGGUGGUUUCUUAAGUCUGAUGUGAAAGCCCACGGCUUAACCGUGGAGGGUCAUUGGAAACUGGGAAACUUGAGUACAGAAGAGGAAUGUGGAACUCCAUGUGUAGCGGUGGAAUGCGUAGAUAUAUGGAAGAACACCAGUGGCGAA